UGAAUACGAGACGCUAAGGCGUCGAAGUAGUGUAUGUCAUACUUCCAAGAAAAGCUUGCACUGUCAUAAGUAAAAAAUGCCUGUACCAUAACCGACACAGGUGGGUAGGUAGAGUAUACUAAGGGGCGCGAGAUAACUCUCUCUAAGGAACUCGGCAAAAUAACUCCGUAACUUCGGGAGAAGGAGUACCUUAUUCUAUAAGGUUGCAAUAACAAGAUCCAAGCAACUGUUUAUCAAAAACACAGGUCUCCGCUAAGUCGUAAGACGAUGUAUGGGGGCUGACGCCUGCCCAGUGCCAGAAGGUUAAAGAAGUCGGUUAGCAUUAGCGAAGCUGGUAACUGAAGCCCUGGUGAACGGCGGCCGUAACAAUAACGGUCCUAAGGUAGCGAAAUUCCUUGUCGGGUAAGUUCCGACCCGCACGAAAGGCGUAAUGAUUUGGAUACUGUCUCGGAGAGGGGCUCGGUGAAAUAGACUUGUCUGUGAAGAUGCGGACUACCUGCACCAGGACAGAAAGACCCUAUGAAGCUUUACUGUAACUUGAAAUUGAAAUUGGACUUUAUUCGCGCAGUAUAGGUGGGAGGUGUUGAUUAUAAUCUUGCGGGAUUAUUGGAGCCAUCAGUGAGAUACCACUCUUGUAAUGUUAGAUUUCUAACUUUGAAUCAUUAUCUGGUCAAAGGACAGUUUCAGGCGGGCAGUUUGACUGGGGCGGUCGCCUCCCAAACGGUAACGGAGGCGUACAAAGGUUUCCUCUGAACGGGUAGAAAUCGUAUCUAGAGUGUAAAGGCAUAAGGAAGCUUGACUGUGAGACCUACAAGUCGAACAGGGACGAAAGUCGGUCUUAGUGAUCUGACGGUACUGAGUGGAAAGGCCGUCACUCAACGGAUAAAAGCUACUCUAAGGAUAACAGGCUGAUCUCCCCCAAGAGUUCACAUCGACGGGGAGGUUUGGCACCUCGAUGUCGGCUCAUCGCAUCCUGGGGCGGUAGUACGUCCCAAGGGUUGGGCUGUUCGCCCAUGAAAGCGGUACGCGAGCUGGGUUCAGAACGUCGUGAGACAGUUCGGUCCAUAUCCGGUGUAGGCGUUAGAAUAUUGAGAGGAGCCUUCUUUAGUACGAGAGGACCGAGAAGGACAUACCUCUGGUGUACCAGUUAUCGUGCCAACGGUAAACGCUGGGUAGCUAUGUAUGGAGUGGAUAACCGCUGAAAGCAUCUAAGUGGGAAGCCCACCUCAAGAUAAGUAUUCU
rnacentral:rRNA from 1 species